rnacentral:rRNA from 1 species
GAGAAGUCUUGUAAACCCAAUUAUCUAGAGAAUGGUCAAGUCGUAACAUGGUAUCUGUAGGUGAACCUGCAGAUGGAUCAUUCAU